rnacentral:rRNA from 1 species
AGACGGAGGGCGCAAGCGUUGUUCGGAAUUACUGGGCGUAAAGCGCACGCAGGCGGUUUCUUAAGUCUUUUGUGAAAGCCCGGGGCUCAACUCCGGAACUGCAUAAGAUACUGGGAGACUAACGACAGGUAGAGGCUAGCGGAAUUCCUGGUGUAGCGGUGGAAUGCGUAGAUAUCAGGAAGAACACCUGUGGCGAAGGCGGCUAGCUGGGCCUGUUCUGACGCUCAGGUGCGAAAGCGUGGGUAGCGAACAGGAUUAGAUACCCUGGUAGUCCAUGCCGUAAACGAUGAAUGCUAGGUGUUGGAGGGUUUCCGCCCUUCAGUGCUGCAGCAAACGCAUUAAGCACUCCGCCUGGGGAGUACGACCGCAAGGUUGAA